rnacentral:rRNA from 1 species
GAUGAACGCUGGCGGCGUGCUUAGCACAUGCAAGUCGAACGAUGAAAGAGGAGCUUGCUCCUCUGGAUUAGUGGCGAACGGGUGAGUAACACGUGAGUAACCUGCCCUUGACUCUGGGAUAAGCACUGGAAAUGGUGUCUAAUACCGGAUACGACCCUCGGAGGCAUCUUCAGGGGGUGGAAAGAAUUUCGGUCAAGGAU